AGAGCCAUGCAGGACUUAGGUUCUGUUUAAAACUUGUAGAAAUUGUCAUGAGUAAUAAUUUUCCCUAAGUCUGUGGUCCGAGGAGCCAUGCAGGACUUAGGUUCUGUUUAAAACUAUGAAUAGUUGCCAUAAGUAAUAAUUUCCCCUAAGUCUGUGGUCCGAGGAGCCAUGCAGGACUUAGGUUCUGUUUAAAACUUGUAUAAAUUGUCAUGAGUAAUAAUUUCCCCUAAGUCUGUGGUCCGAGGAGCCAUGCAGGACUUAGGUUCUGUUUAAAACUUGUAUAAAUUGUCAUGAGUAAUAAUUUCCCCUAAGUCUGUGGUCCGAGGAGCCAUGCAGGACUUAGGUUCUGUUUAAAACUAUGAAUAGUUGCCAUAAGUAAUAAUUUCCCCUAAGUCUGUGGUCCGAGAAGCCAUGCAGGACUUAGAUUCUGUUUAAAACUUGUAUAAAUUGUCAUGAGUAAUAAU